AAUCAACGCUGGCGGCGUGCCUCAGACAUGCAAGUCGAACGCGAAAGCUCCCUUCGGGGAGCAAGUAGAGUGGCGCACGGGUGAGUAACACGUAGGUAAUCUACCUUUGGAUGGGGAAUAACAACCGGAAACGGUUGCUAAUACCGCAUAAUGCAGCGGCACCUAAUGGUGACAGUUGUUAAAGCGGGGGAUCGCAAGACCUCGCGUCUGAAGAGGAGCCUGCGGCAGAUUAGCUAGUUGGUAAGGUAACGGCUUACCAAGGCGAUGAUCUGUAGCCGGCCUGAGAGGGCGGUCGGCCACACUGACACUGACAUACGGGUCAGACUCCUACGGGAGGCAGCAGUCGGGAAUUUUGGGCAAUGGGCGAAAGCCUGACCCAGCAACGCCGCGUGAAGGAUGAAAUCCCUCGGGAUGUAAACUUCGCAAGAACGGGAAGAAUAAGUCGGUGUAAAUACCACCGACGAUGACGGUACUGUUUGUAAGCUCCGGCUAACUCCGUGCCAGCACG
rnacentral:rRNA from 1 species